rnacentral:tRNA from 1 species
UGUAGCUCAGUGGUAGAGUGCUUGCCUUGCAUGUAUGAGGCACUGGGUUUGAUCCUCAGCA